rnacentral:rRNA from 1 species
UACGUAGGGGGCUAGCGUUGUCCGGAUUUAUUGGGCGUAAAGAGCGUGUAGGCGGCCAGGUAGGUCUGCUGUGAAAACUCGAGGCUCAACCUCGAGACGCCGAUGGAAACCAUGUGGCUAGAGUCCGGAAGAGGAGAGUGGAAUUCCUGGUGUAGCGGUGAAAUGCGCAGAUAUCAGGAGGAACACCGGUGGCGAAGGCGGGUCUCUGGGCCGAUACUGACGCUGAGGAGCGAAAGCGUGGGGAGCGAACAGG